UAAUACGAAGGGGGCUAGCGUUGUUCGGAAUUACUGGGCGUAAAGCGCAUGUAGGCGGCGAUUUAAGUCGGGGGUGAAAUCCCAGGGCUCAACCCUGGAACUGCCUUCGAUACUAUUUUGCUAGAGUGUGGAAGAGGUAAGUGGAACUGCAAGUGUAGAGGUGAAAUUCGUAGAUAUUUGCAAGAACACCAGUGGCGAAGGCGGCUUACUGGUCCAUUACUGACGCUGAGAUGCGAAAGCGUGGGGAGCAAACAGGAUUAGAUACCCUGGUAGUCCACGCCGUAAACGAUGAGAGCUAGCUGUUGGGAAGUUUACUUCUCAGUAGCGCAGAUAACUCAAUAAGCUCUCCGCCUGGGGAGUACGGUCGCAAGAUUA
rnacentral:rRNA from 1 species